rnacentral:rRNA from 1 species
AGCGAACGCUGGCGGCAGGCUUAACACAUGCAAGUCGAGCGGGCGUAGCAAUACGUCAGCGGCAGACGGGUGAGUAACACGUGGGAACGUACCUUUUGGUUCGGAACAACACAGGGAAACUUGUGCUAAUACCGAAUAAGCCCUUACGGGGAAAGAUUAUCGCCGAAAGAUCGGCCCGCGUCUGAUUAGCUUGUUGGUGAGGUAACGGCUCACCAAGGCGACGAUCAGUAGCUGGUCNGAGAGGAUGAUCAGCCACACUGGGACUGAGACACGGCCCAGACUCCUACGGGAGGCAGCAGUGGGGAAUAUUGGACAA